rnacentral:rRNA from 1 species
GAUGAACGCUAGCUACAGGCUUAACACAUGCAAGUCGAGGGGCAGCAUGGUCUUAGCUUGCUAAGGCCGAUGGCGACCGGCGCACGGGUGAGUAACGCGUAUCCAACCUGCCUUACACUCUUGGACAGCCUUCUGAAAGGGAGAUUAAUACAAGAUGUUAUCAUGAGUAAGCAUUUUCGCAUGAUUAAAGGUUUACCGGUGUAAGAUGGGGAUGCGUUCCAUUAGAUAGUAGGCGGGGUAACGGCCCACCUAGUCUUCGAUGGAUAGGGGUUCUGAGAGGAAGGUCCCCCACAUUGGAACUGAGACACGGUCCAAACUCCUACGGGAGGCAGCAGUGAGGAAUAUUGGUCAAUGGACGAGAGUCUGAACCAGCCAAGUAGCGUGAAGGAUGAAGGUUCUAUGGAUUGUAAACUUCUUUUAUACGGGAAUAAACGGAUCCACGUGUGGAUUUUUGCAUGUACCGUAUGAAUAAGGAUCGGUUAACUCCGUGCCAGCAGCCGCGGUAAUACGGAGGAUCCGAGCGUUAUCCGGAUUUAUUGGGUUUAAAGGGAGCGUAGAUGGGUUGUUAAGUCAGUUGUGAAAGUUUGCGGCUCAACCGUAAAAUUGCAAUUGAUACUGGCAGUCUUGAGUACAGUUGAGGUAGGCGGAAUUCGUGGUGUAGCGGUGAAAUGCUUAGAUAUCACGAAGAACUCCGAUUGCGAAGGCAGCUUACUAACCUGUAACUGACAUUGAUGCUCGAAAGUGUGGGUAUCAAACAGGAUUAGAUACCCUGGUAGUCCACACGGUAAACGAUGAAUACUCGCUGUAGGCGAUAUACAGUCUGCGGCCAAGCGAAAGCAUUAAGUAUUCCACCUGGGGAGUACGCCGGCAACGGUGAAACUCAAAGGAAUUGACGGGGGCCCGCACAAGCGGAGGAACAUGUGGUUUAAUUCGAUGAUACGCGAGGAACCUUACCCGGGCUUAAAUUGCAACCGAAUAUGGCGGAAACGCUAUAGCUAGCAAUAGCGGUUGUGAAGGUGCUGCAUGGUUGUCGUCAGCUCGUGCCGUGAGGUGUCGGCUUAAGUGCCAUAACGAGCGCAACCCUUGCCGAUAGUUACUAACAGGUCAUGCUGAGGACUCUGUCGGGACUGCCAUCGUAAGAUGUGAGGAAGGUGGGGAUGACGUCAAAUCAGCACGGCCCUUACGUCCGGGGCUACACACGUGUUACAAUGGGGGGUACAGAGGGCUGCUACCACGCAAGUGGAUGCCAAUCCCAAAAACCUCUCUCAGUUCGGAUUGAAGUCUGCAACCCGACUUCAUGAAGCUGGAUUCGCUAGUAAUCGCGCAUCAGCCACGGCGCGGUGAAUACGUUCCCGGGCCUUGUACACACCGCCCGUCAAGCCAUGGGAGCCGGGGGUACCUAAAGUGCGUAACCGCAAGGAGCGCCCUAGGGUAAAACUGG